AUUCCAAUUUGUUGACCCACGGUUUCUCUAGAUAUACUUCCUAGUUCGUACAUCGUUUUUCUCACCGCUAAAACCCUCAACGCGCUGCUUGCCUCUACUCUCCCCGUCUUCCUCCUUGCCUCAUAUGCUAAAAUCUCUUCGAUUCUACCAACUGCCGCAACCGUUCAGACUUUCCAAAGGUAAAUUCUUUUCUCUUCCUCACAAAAUUUGAUAUUGAUUUUGAAAAUAGUGAAAACCCCAUAAAACAAACUGACUUUCUCAACCGAAGAUUAUGAUAUAUGUUUCUAAGCGAUUUGCCUUUGGAAAGUAAAAAACAGACUGAGCAAUUAUAAGAUUUGACCAAGUAAAUGGUUUCGCAUUUGAUUAUUUAGGAUAAUUACAUGCGUGAGGAUUAUUAAAUGAUAUAUUUUAAGGUAGAAGCCUUUAGAUUAGAACUCAUUUUAUGGUUUUGCAUUAGAAGACAAUCUGUACUCAACUUCUUGGGCAAGUUUGGAGGAAAUCUGCUCUUAGUUGAUGCUCUGUCUCCGUCAUUUUUGCCUGCUUUAAUAUGCUUUCUUCUGAUCUCUAACUUUUUAAAUUUUUUAUUUUUGUUUUAUUAAUUUGAUUCGGAAUAUUUUCAGAGAAUAGCUUCAAUUGAGUUAGGUUUUGCUCAAUUUAAUCUCAUUAGUUUCAUUCCAAUUCAAUGAUUUUGUGCAGCGCUGAGUUUUCGGUUGGAGAAUAAAUUUUCUUCAUAGUUCAUUCAAUUUUGUUUUAUUUUCUAAUUUGGAUUUGAAAUUGAGACUCCUAGCUUUGCCCUCAUCAAGAAAAUUUUAUUGAUUCCAAUUGAUAAAUGUUACCUGGAUGGGAAAGGGAUCGCCAAUUUGAAAUCAGCUCUUCAGGUGCAGAAUGAACGGCUAAUCAAUGUGGGAAACUUUUGGAAAUGUAUAAAACUGUAACUUAGAAAUCUCCCUUUUGGAUUGCACAUAUGCUCUUGAUGCAAGCAAAGUAAAUAAAAUGUAAUGUAACUUAAAGACUUAUUUUACUAUGUUGGUUUAGCUGUUCUGUUAAUUUUUGAAAUAUUUAGAAAUGAAUGGGUUGAUUUGUGAUUUUAUGGAA